rnacentral:rRNA from 1 species
CCCUUAGAUGUCCUGGACCGCACGCGCGCUACACUGAACAGUUCAACAAGUCUUAACCUUGGCCGAUAGGUCUGGGUAAUCUUUGAACGCUGUUCGUGAUUGGGAUAGACCUUUGCAAUUAUGGGUCUUCAACGAGGAAUUCCUAGUAAACGCAAGUCAUCAGCUUGCAUUGAUUACGUCCCUGCCCUUUGUACACACCGCCCGUCGCACCUACCGAUUGAAUGGUCCGGUGAAAUCUCGGGACGGCGGCUUGGUCGCUUGCGUCCGACUGCUGAAACUUGAUUAAACCAUAUCAUUUAGAGGAAGGUGAAGUCGUAACA